rnacentral:rRNA from 1 species
UUAAGUUAGAAAGGGCGCACGGUGGAUGCCUUGGCACUAGGAGCCGAUGAAGGACGGGACGAACACCGAUAUGCUUCGGGGAGCUGUAAGCAAGCUUUGAUCCGGAGAUUUCCGAAUGGGGAACCCCACCACUCGUAAUGGAGUGGUAUCCAUAUCUGAAUACAUAGGAUAUGAGAAGGCAGACCCGGGGAACUGAAACAUCUAAGUACCCGGAGGAAGAGAAAGCAAAUGCGAUUCCCUGAGUAGCGGCGAGCGAAACGGGACCAGCCCAAACCAAGAGGCUUGCCUCUUGGGGUUGUAGGACACUCUGUACGGAGUUACAAAGGAACGAGGUAGAUGAAGAGGUCUGGAAAGGCCCGCCAUAGGAGGUAACAGCCCUGUAGUCAAAACUUCGUUCUCUCCUGAGUGGAUCCUGAGUACGGCGGAACACGUGAAAUUCCGUCGGAAUCCGGGAGGACCAUCUCCCAAGGCUAAAUACUCCCUAGUGACCGAUAGUGAACCAGUACCGUGAGGGAAAGGUGAAAAGCACCCCGGAAGGGGAGUGAAAGAGAUCCUGAAACCGUGUGCCUACAAGUAGUCAGAGCCCGUUAACGGGUGAUGGCGUGCCUUUUGUAGAAUGAACCGGCGAGUUACGAUCCCGUGCAAGGUUAAGCAGAAGAUGCGGAGCCGCAGCGAAAGCGAGUCUGAAUAGGGCGAAUUGAGUACGUGGUCGUAGACCCGAAACCAGGUGAUCUACCCAUGUCCAGGGUGAAGUUCAGGUAACACUGAAUGGAGGCCCGAACCCACGCACGUUGAAAAGUGCGGGGAUGAGGUGUGGGUAGGGGUGAAAUGCCAAUCGAACCUGGAGAUAGCUGGUUCUCUCCGAAAUAGCUUUAGGGCUAGCCUCAAGGUAAGAGUCUCGGAGGUAGAGCACUGAUUGGACUAGGGGCCCCUACCGGGUUACCGAAUUCAGUCAAACUCCGAAUGCCGAUGACUUAUCCUUGGGAGUCAGACUGCGAGUGAUAAGAUCCGUAGUCGAAAGGGAAACAGCCCAGACCGCCAGCUAAGGUCCCAAAGUAUACGUUAAGUGGAAAAGGAUGUGGAGUUGCUUAGACAACCAGGAUGUUGGCUUAGAAGCAGCCACCAUUUAAAGAGUGCGUAAUAGCUCACUGGUCGAGUGACUCUGCGCCGAAAAUGUACCGGGGCUAAACGUAUCACCGAAGCUGCGGACUGUUCUUCGAACAGUGGUAGGAGAGCGUUCUAAGGGCUGUGAAGCAAGACCGGAAGGACUUGUGGAGCGCUUAGAAGUGAGAAUGCCGGUAUGAGUAGCGAAAGAGGGGUGAGAAUCCCCUCCACCGAAUGCCUAAGGUUUCCUGAGGAAGGCUCGUCCGCUCAGGGUUAGUCGGGACCUAAGCCGAGGCCGAAAGGCGUAGGCGAUGGAUAACAGGUUGAUAUUCCUGUACCACCUCCUCACCAUUUGAGCAAUGGGGGGACGCAGGAGGAUAGGGUAAGCGCGGUAUUGGAUAUCCGCGUCCAAGCAGUUAGGCUGGGAAAUAGGCAAAUCCGUUUCCCGUGAAGGCUGAGCUGUGAUGGCGAGCGAAUUAUAGUAGCGAAGUUCCUGAUUCCACACUGCCAAGAAAAGCCUCUAGCGAGGUGAGAGGUGCCCGUACCGCAAACCGACACAGGUAGGCGAGGAGAGAAUCCUAAGGUGAUCGAGAGAACUCUCGUUAAGGAACUCGGCAAAAUGACCCCGUAACUUCGGGAGAAGGGGUGCUCUGUUAGGGUGCAAGCCCGAGAGAGCCGCAGUGAAUAGGCCCAGGCGACUGUUUAGCAAAAACACAGGUCUCUGCGAAGCCGUAAGGCGAAGUAUAGGGGCUGACGCCUGCCCGGUGCUGGAAGGUUAAGAGGAGCGCUUAGCGUAAGCGAAGGUGCGAAUUGAAGCCCCAGUAAACGGCGGCCGUAACUAUAACGGUCCUAAGGUAGCGAAAUUCCUUGUCGGGUAAGUUCCGACCCGCACGAAAGGCGCAACGAUCUGGGCACUGUCUCAACGAGAGACUCGGUGAAAUUAUAGUACCUGUGAAGAUGCAGGUUACCCGCGACAGGACGGAAAGACCCCGUGGAGCUUUACUGCAGCCUGAUAUUGAAUGUUGGUACAGCUUGUACAGGAUAGGUAGGAGCCUUGGAAACCGGAGCGCCAGCUUCGGUGGAGGCAUCGGUGGGAUACUACCCUGGCUGUAUUGACCUUCUAACCCGCCGCCCUUAUCGGGCGGGGAGACAGUGUCAGGUGGGCAGUUUGACUGGGGCGGUCGCCUCCUAAAAGGUAACGGAGGCGCCCAAAGGUUCCCUCAGAAUGGUUGGAAAUCAUUCGCAGAGUGUAAAGGCACAAGGGAGCUUGACUGCGAGACCUACAAGUCGAGCAGGGACGAAAGUCGGGCUUAGUGAUCCGGUGGUUCCGCAUGGAAGGGCCAUCGCUCAACGGAUAAAAGCUACCCCGGGGAUAACAGGCUUAUCUCCCCCAAGAGUCCACAUCGACGGGGAGGUUUGGCACCUCGAUGUCGGCUCAUCGCAUCCUGGGGCUGUAGUCGGUCCCAAGGGUUGGGCUGUUCGCCCAUUAAAGCGGUACGCGAGCUGGGUUCAGAACGUCGUGAGACAGUUCGGUCCCUAUCCGUCGCGGGCGCAGGAAAUUUGAGAGGAGCUGUCCUUAGUACGAGAGGACCGGGAUGGACGCACCGCUGGUGUACCAGUUGUUCUGCCAAGGGCAUCGCUGGGUAGCUAUGUGCGGACGGGAUAAGUGCUGAAAGCAUCUAAGCAUGAAGCCCCCCUCAAGAUGAGAUUUCCCAUUCCGCAAGGAAGUAAGAUCCCUGAAAGAUGAUCAGGUUGAUAGGUCUGAGGUGGAAGUGUGGCGACACAUGGAGCUGACAGAUACUAAUCGAUCGAGGACUUAACCAA